rnacentral:rRNA from 1 species
CUGGUGCCAGCAGCCGCGGUAAUUCCAGCUCCAAUAGCGUAUAUUAAAGUUGUUGACAGUUAAAAAGCUCGUAGUUGAAUUUCGGGGUCAGUAGAUUGGUCAUGCCUCCGGUAUGUACUGGUCUUACUGGCUCCUCCUUCCUGAUGAACCGUAAUGCCAUUAAUUUGGUGUUGCGGGGAGACUGGACUGUUACUUUGAAAAAUUAGAGUGUUUAAAGCAGGCUAACGCUUGAAUACAUUAGCAUGGAAUAAUGAAAUAGGACGUUCGAUCUUAUUUUGUUGGUUUCUAAGAUUGACGUAAUGAUUAAUAGGGAUAGUUGGGGGCAUUAGUAUUCAAUUGUCAGAGGUGAAAUUCUUGGAUUUAUUGAAGACUAACUACUGCGAAAGCAUUUGCCAAGGAUGUUUUCAUUAAUCAAGAACGGAAGUUAGGGGAUCGAAGACGAUCAGAUACCGUCGUAGUCUUAACCAUAAACUAUGCCGACUAGGGAUCGGAUGAUGUUAAUUUUUUAAUGACUCAUUCGGCGCCUUACG